UCGUGGUGUGUGACUAAUAGUGUCACUUGAAGACCUGCAACGAAUAUUGUGGGUGUUAUAAUUUUAUAUAAUAGACUUAAUAAUGAGACUUUAUAAAUAUGAUACUUGAUUGACUAUAAGAUUUGCCUGCAAAUUCAUUUUUCACAGGCCACCACAUCUUUCUGCAAAUUCAUCUUCAGUUCUUGAUGUAACAGAAAGCAAUGCCAGUUGAUCCUGGAAUAUGCAAAUGAUUUCUGAACUUUGAGAAGGCUCUGCCUUUUGAUGUGGCUGUUGCUGGAGCUGACAGGAGUAUUUUACUGGAACCUAGUGUGACUGUCUUCUGAGAGGCUCCCCUGAGCAGCUGAAUGAAACAGAUGCAGAGAGACCCACAGACAAACAUUGGACAGAGCUCAGGAGUCUUGUGAAGGAGUUUGGAGAAGGACCAGGAGACCUGGAAGGGGGCUUCCAGCAGAAAACAUGUCCCAGCUUAUAAGACCCACCACUAAAGAUCUGGAUGAAAGGUGUGUCAAAGACCCAGACCUACCAGACUAGAAGUGGAUCUUCUCACUUCAAAUGAUUUAAU